CUUUAUCACUUUUCCAGCCCAGCUUUCUGGUUCUAGCCGUUGGACGGAGAAUUGAUAAGGGU
rnacentral:pre_miRNA from 1 species